rnacentral:rRNA from 1 species
AGAGUUUGAUCCUGGCUCAGGACGAACGCUGGCGGCGUGCUUUACACAUGCAAGUCGAACGGCCCAGCACUCAACUCUUGAGUUGAGUGCUGGGUAGUGGCGGACGGGUGAGUAACACGUGAGCAACCUGCCCGACAACCCGGGAUAACAGCGGGAAACCGUUGCUAAUACCGGAUACUCCAUUGCCCACGCAUGUUGGUAAUGGGAAAGGGUUUACCGAUGUCGGAUGGGCUCGCGACCCAUUAGCUAGUUGGUAGGGUAACGGCCUACCAAGGCAGCGAUGGGUAGCUGGUCUGAGAGGACGAUCAGCCACACUGGAACUGAGACACGGUCCAGACUCCUACGGGAGGCAGCAGUGGGGAAUAUUGCACAAUGGGCGCAAGCCUGAUGCAGCGACGCCGCGUGGAGGAUGAAGGCUUUCGGGUCGUAAACUCCUGUCUGGGGGGAUGAACACUGACAGUACCCCCAGAGGAAGCCCCGGCUAACUACGUGCCAGCAGCCGCGGUAACACGUAGGGGGCGAGCGUUGUCCGGAAUUACUGGGCGUAAAGGGUGCGUAGGCGGCCAGGCAAGUCCGAUGUGAAAUACCACGGCUAAACUGUGGGGGUGCAUAGGAAACUGUCCGGCUUGAGUGCAGGAGAGGAAAGUGGAAUUCCUAGUGUAGCGGUGAAAUGCGUAGAUAUUAGGAGGAACACCAGUGGCGAAGGCGACUUUCUGGACUGCAACUGACACUGAGGCGCGAAAGCUAGGGGAGCAAACAGGAUUAGAUACCCUGGUAGUCCUAGCCGUAAACGAUGGGUACUAGGUGUUGGGGGUGACAAUCCUCCAGUGCCGCAGUUAACGCAUUAAGUACCCCGCCUGGGGAGUACGGCCGCAAGGCU